rnacentral:rRNA from 1 species
CUGGUGGACCUGUUGUUGCGCCAGCAGCAUUGCAGGGUAGCUAUGUAUGGACGGGAUAACCGCUGAAAGCAUCUAAGCGGGAAACCCACCUCGAGAUAAAUUCUCCCUGAGAGCCGUGGAAGACCACCACGUUGAUAGGCUGGAUGUGGAAGCGCGGUAACGCGUGAAGCUGACCAGUACUAAUUACUCGAUCGACUUGAUAUCAUUCG